GGGCCAAGUGAAACUAGCGCGUUUUCUUGGAUCCUACACUUUAUAGUGAAUCAUAAAUACUUUAAAUACAAAGCCAACAACAUUUGCUGCAAAUAAACGUAAAAAUACUGUUAAAGUGUGAAGUGUUUUCCUCCGUACCAUCUGACGUUUCUGGCGGUUCGUUGAACGCGGGAGAACGCUGAGCCGUCUGCGCUGAGCCCGGGAGCAUCUUAAGGGCAGCGCCGCCCACGCGCGAGGUGAAUGAAGGACACGGCCUCUGACACUCCCAGGCAGCACAGAUAGACGGAUGCUGGCUAGAAGUGACCCCAGGAUUUUUUUAUUAUCAAGAGAGACUAGAAGAAUCAUGAGACUUUUCCUAGUUGCCUUUCAAGAAUAUGAAGAAAAAAAUGGUUCUCAAAGUGGGUUUGAAUGAGUAUUGUUCCAAAAAAUGAACUUAUAUUCAUAUUUUAUCCUCUGAGUCCUGCUGUUUCAACAUCCAUUAGAACUGAAUAAUAAUACUACAUAUCAAAGUUUGUGGGAAAUUGCUAAAGUGUAAAAAAUGCUUAUAUUGAAAAAGAAGAAAAGCUGAAAAUUAAUUGUCUGUGCUUCCAACUUAACUUUAAAAAAGGACAACAAGCUAAUCCUAAAGAAACUAGAAUAAAAGGAAAAAAUAAAAAACAGAAGUUAAAGAGUAAUUUUAAAAAACACAAUAGAGAUGAUCGACAAAGCCAAAAGUUGAUUCUUUGAAAAGAUUAAUGAAGUAGGCAAACCACUGGUGAAAUGAAUCAAGAAAAAUAGAGAAAAGGCUCAAACAUUAGGAAUGGAAAAUAGGGCAAUGCUAAAGAGAAUUCAAAGAUCAGAAAAAUAUGGGAGUAUAUUAAAAAUGAUUUCAUGCCCAAGUGUUCAAAUCUAUAUUGCCUU
rnacentral:sRNA from 1 species